GCAUUAAUGGGGUAGUGGUAACCUGGGUCGUUGCCAUACAAGUGGCUAGGCAUGUCUCGACCCGCCGGGGGUUCGAUUCCCCCUUAAUGCA